UUCCCUUUACAUCUUUCAUCUCCAUCUCUUUUUCUCCGCCUCAUCGUCCUAACCCUCUUCCUCUCUGUUGCACUCUUACAAUCUCUCAACCAAAACACAAAUUAACAGAGAGGACCGUUAUUCGAUUCACUUUCCUCUUCUUUUCUUGAUUUCUCCUUGUAGAUCUUUCUGUUCUUCAAACCCCAGAAGAGAUCGGUUUUCAUUCUCAACUCGCUUUUUGUUUUCUCUCUCUUUUUUUUUUCUAUGUGAUUUGAGAGGCAAGAUUAAGGUUUUGUGAUCGAGAGCAGAAGGGAUUAAUCAAAGAAUAGUUGUUGGUAAUAAUGCCGAUUUGAGUGGUGAAUUCAAAAUCAGCAUAAAAGGCUUACUUCAAGAGGUUUCAAGUCAAAUUCAAGCGAAGGAGAGGAAGAGCAUCUGAAUUGGACACCUAUCUAGCAAAUAUUUAUUUGGUUCCUAGAAGGCUAAAGGACCUGUGUGCAAUGUUACUUGAAAGAGGAUUCAAGGGAUCCGAAGCUUUAGCAAUCUUCUUAAUCUUCUUGGUCUUUGGUUGUAGCUAUCAAAGCCAGCACUUGUACCAGUCAAAGCUAACACUGAUACCCCAGGAACAUGGUUCCUUACAGACGAAAGGUUGGGAUAGCUGGGCCUGAAGAAGUGCAGGGAAAAAAUAUUGAGAGUUUGAGACUACAGAUAGAGUAUGAUGAUAAACUACUGAAACUGAUAGAUUCGAAUGUCAUUCCCGCUGUUAAGCAAAACUAAGAACAAAAGUUCUUCAUCCUGUUUGGUGCAUUACCUUGUUAUGUCGUCAUCACAUACUACUUAAUAGCUCCGAGA